CGGUAAAACCAGCACCUCAAGUGGUCAGGAUGAUUAUUGGGCCUAAAGCAUCCGUAGCCGGCUCUGUAAGUUUUCGGUUAAAUCUGUACGCUCAACGUACAGGCUGCCGGGAAUACUGCAGAGCUAGGGAGUGGGAGAGGUAGACGGUACUCGGUAGGAAGGGGUAAAAUCCUUUGAUCUAUUGAUGACCACCUGUGGCGAAGGCGGUCUACCAGAACACGUCCGACGGUGAGGGAUGAAAGCUGGGGGAGCAAACCGGAUUAGAUACCCGGGUAGUCCCAGCUGUAAACUAUGCAAACUCAGUGAUGCAUUGGCUUGUGGCCAAUGCAGUGCUGCAGGGAAGCCGUUAAGUUUGCCGCCUGGGAAGUACGUACGCAAGUAUGAAACUUA
rnacentral:rRNA from 1 species